rnacentral:rRNA from 1 species
AUGGCAGGCGAGGACACCGACCCCAAGUCCAGCGGUUCUGUUGCUGCUGUGCCGUACGUGUUCUUCUCCUUUCUGUUAGAAGUCCUGCUACAGUUCUUGGCUCUAGUUUCUGUCCUACGUACGCUCUGCGCGACUACUGGCUGCUUCAUCACGGACGAUCCGGUCGCCAAUGACUACUUCCCCGACGUCCACGACCUCCUCGACGACAUGGCAGGCGAGGACACCGACCCCAAGUCCAACGCUUCUGUUGCUGCUGUGCCGCAAUUUACCUCGAAUGGUUUUGAUGCUUCCAUGAGACCUCCUAUGUUUGAGGGUAUCCACUAG